GACGAACGCUGGCGGCGUGCCUAAUACAUGCAAGUAGAACGCACAGUUUAUACCGUAGCUUGCUACACCAUAGACUGUGAGUUGCGAACGGGUGAGUAACGCGUAGGUAACCUGCCUGGUAGCGGGGGAUAACUAUUGGAAACGAUAGCUAAUACCGCAUAAUAUUAAUUAUUGCAUGAUAAUUAAUUGAAAGGUGCAAUUGCACCACUACCAGAUGGACCUGCGUUGUAUUAGCUAGUAGGUGAGGUAACGGCUCACCUAGGCGACGAUACAUAGCCGACCUGAGAGGGUGAUCGGCCACACUGGGACUGAGACACGGCCCAGACUCCUACGGGAGGCAGCAGUAGGGAAUCUUCGGCAAUGGACGAAAGUCUGACCGGGCAACGCCGCGUGAGUGAAGAAGGUUUUCGGAUCGUAAAGCUCUGUUGUAAGAGAAGAACGGGUGUGAGAGUGGAAAGUUCACACUGUGACGGUAUCUUACCAGAAAGAGACGGCUAACUACGUG
rnacentral:rRNA from 1 species